rnacentral:rRNA from 1 species
UACAGAGGUCUCAAGCGUUGUUCGGAUUCAUUGGGCGUAAAGGGUGCGUAGGUGGCGGGGUAAGUCUGGUGUGAAAUCUCGGAGCUCAACUCCGAAACUGCACUGGAUACUGCCUUGCUCGAGUACUGGAGAGGAGAUUGGAAUUUACGGUGUAGCAGUGAAAUGCGUAGAUAUCGUAAGGAAGACCAGUGGCGAAGGCGAAUCUCUGGACAGUUACUGACACUGAGCACGAAGGCCAGGGGAGCAAACGGG